rnacentral:rRNA from 1 species
UACGUAGGGGGCUAGCGUUGUCCGGAAUCAUUGGGCGUAAAGAGCGUGUAGGCGGUCCGGUAAGUCCGCUGUGAAAGUCGGGGGCUCAACCCUCGAAUGCCGGUGGAUACUGUCGGGCUAGAGUGCGGAAGAGGCGAGUGGAAUUCCUGGUGUAGCGGUGAAAUGCGCAGAUAUCAGGAGGAACACCAAUUGCGAAGGCAGCUCGCUGGGACGUGACUGACGCUGAGACGCGAAAGCGUGGGGAGCGAACAGG